GUCACAAACACUGGCCAAAAUUAGUGUUCAAUUUAGUUUUUUUUACUUUUUUCACACACAAACAAAUAUGAAUGCUUACUUUGGCCAGUGUUUUCGACUAAGUGGCUACUAAAAAAGACUGGACAUACCCCAUUUUGAAUACCCUGGGUUGUCUACUUUAAAAAAAAAUAUGUACAUGUGGGGUGUUAUUUAGAGAUUUAGGACAGAUAAUAGCGUUACAAUGUCACUAUUGAUAAAUUUUAAAAAUGUAUGUUU